rnacentral:rRNA from 1 species
UACAGAGGGGGCAAGCGUUGUUCGGAAUUACUGGGCGUAAAGGGCGCGUAGGCGGCCUGUUAAGUCGGACGUGAAAUCCCUCGGCUCAACCGAGGAACUGCGUCCGAUACUGGCGGGCUUGAAUUCGGGAGAGGGAUGUGGAAUUCCAGGUGUAGCGGUGAAAUGCGUAGAUAUCUGGAGGAACACCGGUGGCGAAGGCGGCAUCCUGGACCGACAUUGACGCUGAGGCGCGAAAGCUAGGGGAGCAAACAGG